CCUACGGGAGGCAGCAGUAGGGAAUAUUGCUCAAUGGGGGAAACCCUGAAGCAGCAACGCCGCGUGGAGGAUGAAGGUUUUCGGAUUGUAAACUCCUUUUGUUAGAGAAGAUAAUGACGGUAACCAACGAAUAAGCACCGGCUAAAUCAGUGCCAGCAGCCGCGGUAAUACGGAGGGUGCAAGCGUUAUUCGGAAUCACUGGGCGUAAAGAGCGCGUAGGCGGGUUAGCAAGUCCGAUGUGAAAUCCUAUGGCUUAACCAUAGGACUGCAUUUGAAACUGUUAUUCUAGAGUAUGGGAGAGGUAAGUGGAAUUCUUGGUGUAGCGGUAAAAUGCGUAGAGAUCAAGAGGAAUACUCAUUGCGAAGGCGACCUGCUAGAACAUAACUGACGCUGAUGCGCGAAAGCGUGGGGAGCAAACAGGAUUAGAUACCCUUGUAGUC
rnacentral:rRNA from 1 species